GAUGAACGCUGGCGGCGUGCCUAAUACAUGCAAGUCGAGCGAACGGACGAGAAGCUUGCUUCUCUGAUGUUAGCGGCGGACGGGUGAGUAACACGUGGAUAACCUACCUAUAAGACUGGGAUAACUUCGGGAAACCGGAGCUAAUACCGGAUAAUAUUUUGAACCGCAUGGUUCAAAAGUGAAAGAAGGUCUUGCUGUCACUUAUAGAUGGAUCCGCGCUGCAUUAGCUAGUUGGUAAGGUAACGGCUUACCAAGGCAACGAUGCAUAGCCGACCUGAGAGGGGGAGCGGCCACACUGGAACUGAGACACGGUCCAGACUCCUACGGGAGGCAGCAGUAGGGAAUCUUCCGCAAUGGGCGAAAGCCUGACGGAGCAACGCCGCGUGAGUGAUGAAGGUCUUCGGAUCGUAAAACUCUGUUAUUAGGGAAGAACAUAUGUGUAAGUAACUGUGCACAUCUUGACGGUACCUAAUCAGAAAGCCACGGCUAACUACGUG
rnacentral:rRNA from 1 species